GAUGGUAGUACAACACAACAACCAUGAAGGUAGCCAAGCUGUUUCUUCUUUUCGUCGUUUUCUUCGUGACGCUCUUCUCUGGAACCUUUUCCCAACUUAGAUCUGAUUUGCUGGACGACGACGCUGCGCUAUUACGCAAACCGAGAGCUGACGACCGCGCAACCAAGAGGGCCGCAGACGCUACAUAAAGCCAGCGCAAUGUCGGCGCCUUUCAAAUAAUAUACAGUGAUGCUAA